rnacentral:lncRNA from 1 species
UUUAGAAAACACAUGAACUAUUAACGAGAUUAUUGCAUUGUAUAUCCAAUAAUUAAGAAGAGAAAAACAACGUUACAAAAGUUUAAACUCAAAUCACUUAAGUUGUGGUUGAAACCUAUAAACUCAUCAUAAAUACAAAUCAUUAACGUCGAGUUGGAUUGAAAUAGUUUGGACUCAAAACAAAUCAAACCAUUGUAACGCCUCAAACACACUUUCGGUAAAAAAGAAAUGAAACAAAAUAGAUUAGUCGGAUAAAAGUUUGAACCUAAGAAGUUUGAUGAUAUAAUGUGUAAUCUCAUAAAGAGGGGGAGAGAGAGAGAGAGAAAGAGUAAAGAAGAGAGAAUUGUACCCUAAAAAACAAACAAUGAAACACAAAUGGCAGAAAACCGCGGCUGAGGAACAGAGUCGGUUCAUCUUCCUCUACUCUUUUUCAUCGCAACCAAC